rnacentral:tRNA from 1 species
GCGCGGGUGCUGUAACGGUAGCCAGGCACGCUUGAGGUGCGUGUGCCGCAAGGCGUGGAGGUUCGAAUCCUCUCCCGCGCACCA